rnacentral:rRNA from 1 species
GACGAACGCUGGCGGCGUGCCUAAUACAUGCAAGUCGAACGCUGAAGGAGGAGCUUGCUUCUCUGGAUGAGUUGCGAACGGGUGAGUAACGCGUAGGUAACCUGCCUGGUAGCGGGGGAUAACUAUUGGAAACGAUAGCUAAUACCGCAUAAUAGUAGAUGUUGCAUGACAUUUGCUUAAAAGGUGCAAUUGCAUCACUACCAGAUGGACCUGCGUUGUAUUAGCUAGUUGGUGGGGUAACGGCUCACCAAGGCGACGAUACAUAGCCGACCUGGGAGGGGGAUCGGCCACACUGGGACUGAGACACGGCCCAGACGCCUACGGGAGGCAGCAGUAGGGAAUCUUCGGCAAUGGACGGAAGUCUGACCGAGCAACGCCGCGUGAGUGAAGAAGGUUUUCGGUUCGUAAAGCUCUGUUGUAAGAGAAGAACGAGUGUGAGAGUGGAAAGUUCACACUGUGACGGUAUCUUACCAGAAAGAGACGGCUAACUACGUG